UUUCUUUCAGCUGCAUUCGUGAGGAAGGUUGUAACUUGUAACAUCGGUGUCAUGUGUUUCCAGGUUCUCGUGAGAACAUAGUUUGAUACUUCACAUCUUGUUUUGAGAACGAGCAACUUUGUAUUCAAAUGGAACUAUGUGAUCGCUGUCUAUCUGUGAAUCUAAACCCGCCACUGAAGCAUUGGGAAGCCUUGGAACUUCUGUAUCAGAUCUAUUGAGGGGGAUUUGGAGAUGUUGUCUCAAGCAGAAAAGAAGGAAGUGAGAAGUUGCUUUGACAAAUUGUGCCUACAUUUUGUUUGCUUUCAGAGGUGAUGGAGAAGGUCACUGGCGAGGUCGCCGACGCAUUCCCUAUCAAUGAAAAUCUCAAGGAGGCUGCCGACGCCUCGAGGAUUAAGGCGGUCACCGAU